GGAAUGACUGAGUGGGAAGAGGGAUUCCUAAGAACAUCUUGCUUCCAGGUGCCCCUGUGAGUAACCUGUCCUGUCCACUGCCCCUCCGCCUGUACCCAGUCCCAUAAGGGGAGAAAAGUGGAUUCUGCAAGGAGGCAUAGUGGUAGCUGGAGGAAAGCAGAUUGAAAGAGUCUAAAGCAUUAGAUCAAUCUGGUCCUAUCAGAUGGCUACAGAUAUCCUGCUUCUACAAAUGAGAAAACUGAAGCUCAGGAAAGGGAAAUGACUUGCCUCCGUGUGUGUAACUGGUCGGACCUGGACUGUCUGGUUUCCAGACCCAAUUCAGAAAACACCACGCUUCAACAAAGUCUAAAGCUCGUAAUGAAGAAGCUAUAGAUCUGGGAUCUGAGAAGGAUGAACCCACGACCUUCAGGGAAGUGGCCAGGAAGCCGCGAGUUUAAGGGAACCAAACAGCAAUUUGAAGAAUCUCCCUUCUAUUCUCAGUUUACUGAGAGUUUUUAAUCAUGAUGAGCUGUUGGAUUUUGUCAAAUGCUUUUCCUGCAUCAGUUGAUAAGUUCAGAUAUCUGGAUGGAAAGGAGCUACCUCUGAACCUGAUGAAGAAGCAACAGGGAACCACUCAGUUACCUGGACUUCAAGCUGAACGUGGGUGAAUAUCUGUCUCCUGGAAUAGAUGACAGCGGGUUCUUCUGGGAGAAUGCAUUAGGGAGGUUGAAGUCUGAGCUCCUUAGCAUGAUGUGAUGGACCGACCUAGCAUGAUCUGACUUCUGCUGAUGGCUCCAACUUCACCCCCAACCCAGACCAACUAAAAGGUCAUAAGAGAGGUCUCCGUUAAGCUGAUACAAGAAGAAGAAGAAGAGAGAGGAAUUUAUUAAUGGACUCAUCCCAGAAGGGUCGUAUAUAACUUCCAUUCACAUCUCAUCGAGCCCAACAGUCACUGGGCCACACCUGGAUUUAAAGGAACAGGAGGAGUCAUGGUCUAGGUGUAGGUUAGAGAAAAAGGGGAGGUCACAUAUGUUGGUGAACCUUGGGGUCUCCAGCAUGGUAGAGUACAUGUAGUGGUGGGGGAGCUUUUGGUCAUUGUUCUUCCAUCCAUUCCUUUGAUGCAGGAUUUCUCUAUGUGGGCACUACUGACACCUCGGGCUGGACAAUUCUUUGUUACACAGGGAUGUCCUGUGUGUUGUAGGAUGUUUCCCAGCUUUUCGGGUCUCUACCUUCUAGAUGUCAGUAACCCCCUCCACCCCCUCCAAUCAUGUCAAUUAAAAAUAUCUCCAAAUAUUUCCAUGUGUUAUGUGGGGGAGGGGGGUGUCCCUAGUUUGAUGUGCUGUUUCUUUACUGAGUGUUUCCUGAAGGCGGUGAAAUAUCUCUUAUUUGCUAAAGUGGUAAUGUCACAGAAUUCUUGAUUCAAAGAUAUCAGGAAUUUAUAUUUUUCCUGAUUCUUUAUUCACAGCAGUACCCCUAGUAUCACACUAGUGAGAAACCAAUGGAAGAAACCAGAUCUUAUCUUAAUUUUUAGCCCAUUUAUAUGCCUGCACAUAAUAUUUAUCUCUUUGUUCAUCUCCCUGGAUCUCUUAUGAUCAAUAAUGUGCCUGUAGAUUAAUUUCUGUUUUUAAUCCUUGUUCGGUCAUCUUACUCUGGAAUACUGAAUCUACUUUCCCACAACCUUUGAAUCUGUAGGCCUAGACUGAGUUUCAGCCUUUCUUCUCUUUUUGACAGGGAACAAGAAUCAUACAAGAACCAAAAGGAUCAUAUACCAGAAAUAUCAAAAAUUGACUCUCGUGCUGUAGUGACCACAACCUGCACUCCUGCUGACAUCAUUAAUGAAUCGGAAUACUCUCCUCCUGAGCCUGGAGCCCACCUCAGAAUCCAGGAAGCAACUGAGGCAGUUGAUAGAUUGAACAGGAUUGUAAAAAGAGAUUCAAAUUAUUUGGUCUCCAAGCUCUGGUCAUUUUUAGAGCUACAGAAACUGAAAACCAGGUGAUGAAAAGGAGUGCCCAGGCCACCUGGAGUUUUGGUCUUCUGACCUCGUGUUUCUUCGCCUGUCCCUCAUUUAUGAAUCAAGGAGGCUUGUCCAAGCCCAGUGACUUGCUUGGAAGUAGAGCCUUGAAAAGUGUGCUAAAAAUAAGAGUAUUGCUUAGAAUGGUGGGGGUGAACUUGAGUUUAACCAGAUUCUCUUUUCUUUGCUUUUUGAGCAACAAAGAAUACUCCUGUGUGUUGCACAGAGAUUGGAGGGGCUAUAAUAAUCCCUGCCACCAUGACUUUUAAGAGAUCAAAGAAAAUUCUGAGUGGUACCUAAAUGUCCAAAUUUAAAAUUCAAGAAAAAAAUAAGCAGCAGCACAUAAAAACUUUUCUGCAGCAGCCUGCAGGAAGGGUAAAUAUGGCAUGUAUAUUUGAAUGAAAGAAUUUGAGAUUCAGUCUUAGCCAGCCUUUUUAGGAAAAAAAAAAAGUCAGGAUCUGAUGGGAAAUAAAAAGCUGUUUAUGUUUUAUCGUUUGUAUACAAUAAAAUACACUGG
rnacentral:lncRNA from 1 species